GUACCCGCUGAACUUAAGCAUAUCAAUAAGCGGAGGAAAAGAAACCAACAGGGAUUGCCCCAGUAACGGCGAGUGAAGCGGCAAGAGCUCAAAUUUGAAAGCUGGCCCCCUCGGGGUCCGCAUUGUAAUUUGCAGAGGAUGCUUCGGGAGUGGCCCCCAUCUAAGUGCUCUGGAACGGGCCGUCAUAGAGGGUGAGAAUCCCGUAUGGGAUGGGGUGUCCGCGACCAUGUGAAGCUCCUUCGACGAGUCGAGUUGUUUGGGAAUGCAGCUCUAAAUGGGUGGUAAAUUUCAUCUAAAGCUAAAUAUUGGCCGGAGACCGAUAGCGCACAAGUAGAGUGAUCGAAAGAUGAAAAGCACUUUGAAAAGAGAGUUAAAAAGCACGUGAAAUUGUUGAAAGGGAAGCGCUUGCGACCAGACUCGCCUACGGGGUUCAGCCGGUAUUCGUACCGGUGUACUUCCCCGUGGGCGGGCCAGCGUCGGUUUGGGCGGCCGGUCAAAGGCCCUCGGAAUGUAACGCCUCUCGGGGCGUCUUAUAGCCGAGGGUGCCAUGCGGCCAGCCCAGACCGAGGAACGCGCUUCGGCACGGACGCUGGCAUAAUGGUCGUAAGCGACCCGUCUUGAAACACGG
rnacentral:rRNA from 1 species